rnacentral:misc_RNA from 1 species
GAGGAGUUUGUUUGCACCAACCAAGAGAAUAAAGGAUGUUGCACGAGGCCCGAGGAUGAAGGAACAGGGACAUGCGCGGAUAUGGAUCAGACCUGCGAGUGGAAAUGUUCGGAUUUUCCGGUCACGACUCCGGGUCCUUCACCAAUCUCCGAGAAGUUCUGUAUAGGAAAAGGAACAGAUAUGUUUAUGAACGGUUUCCAGGUGACCGGUAGCGAGAACCAACUAUGUGUUAUUUUGUUCUUCGAGGCGUGGGUCCUGGACAGCCAGCUCAAGUUCUUCUUCGGGUGUAUCGGGGUCAUUCUACUUGGAAUUGGAGUUGAAGGAUUGCUGUGUGUCCGUAGACUACUCCAGAGUAGGAAGAUUCUACGGUUUAUCUCCAGUCCUGUCCGUAGAGGUUCCAUAAUUGUUCUCUUUGGAUUAAACAUUGCAUUUGGCUACAUGGCUAUGCUGGUUGCUAUGACGUAUUCUGUUGAAUUGUUCCUGUGUAUGGUUUUAGGAUUGGUGCUUGGUCAUGCUAUCUUCAACACUGCCGCCCCGGUUGGCGAGAGUGUUGAUCCCUGCUGUGCAUCCCAGGUUAUUGGAGCAUCAAAUGAUACAGCCUCUGAUUCUUCGAACAUCGUGACAGUUUAAUCGUGAAGAAACCUGAAACUUGUGAGCUGACAUGUGAGCAGUGUCCCAGUAUCCCUAGCUAGCAUCGAAUUAAGCAGUUGUAAAAUUGGAGAUUUUUCGAGAAAAAGAAGCUUUUUCAGUCCAAUACAGCUCAAAAGCAACUCUUGCUUUAAUCAAUUUCAAGAGACAAUAGUAAACAAAUUUUGUUGGGAAAAAAUAUUUCUGGCAUUUUAUUUUUUUUCCUCAAUGUAAUACAAUUUAGUUUUUGAAAUAAUUUGAUUUCGUUAAGUUUAAAAAAUUUAAAUGGACACCAAAGAUUGAGCAACGUUCUCACUUAUCCUUUUUGUUUGUUUUUGUUUUGUUUAAUUACCGUACACUGUGCACAUGAGCAAUGUCAGGUUUGGCUCGGUCAUAGAUUAAUUAACAAUAAUAGAUAAGCCAGGACACUAGAUGUUGUCUUUUCAAGAUUUUAAGCAAAAACCCAAAGGAAUUCCGCGCAGGCAGCUUUGAAUUACAAGGCGGAGAGAGGGAAUGAGAUGCCUGCGCAGAUCUCUUUUGGGCUUCUGUCUCAGGGUUAUUGUAAACCAAAACCCCUAAAUCUGUUAUUGUUAAUUAAUCUAUGGGCUCGGCAUUUAGAAAUGAAAUCAGAUAAAAAUAUAUCAGUCAAUUGACUUGGGGCUCUCAUGUUUUGUAACAACAUGUUUAAUGACUGUAAGAAAAGUAACUACAUUUAAAGGUUACAAUAAUGUCGCAAACAAAAACACAGAAUAGACAUAAUAAAGCCAUGAAUCUAUAUAUAUAUGAUUAACUUUAGAUUGCAAAAAAGAACUAGAUAUCUAAAAAAAAUUUUACCCAAAAAGGCCUCCACAGAUUUUUUGUUUUUGUUUUUGGUGUUGUGUCUUAAAACAAAAUUCUGAAAUAGCUCUUAAGUACACAGCGGCGUACAAUAUUGACAAUUUUCAAAAGUUAUUAUGUUCCGUUAUUCACUGCAGUAUUAGAGGAUUUAAAAUUUAGUUAAAGUGAGAGUUGGCGAAAAAAGAAGUGUCCUUUGUUAAUGAUCUGUUCUGGAUCCCGAAUAUUAUUAAAAAUAUUUAUAAAUUUAUAUUUAUUUAAUUAUACCCACAAUUUCUCUUUUCGCGAACACUCCAUUAAUGUAUGUGCAAUAUUUAAAUAAUUUUAUUAUAUUUCCAAAGAAAAAAAAAGAAAAAGUAAAUAAUAUCCGUAAACCUAAAAUCGCUUUGAAACAAUCUAUAUUCUAUGUGUUGGCACUUUGUACCAUUUUCCUACUUCACAUUAGCUCCAUUUUAGCUGUAUUCUUAAACAUACCAGCUCAUUAUAGCUACAUGCUUAAUCUCAUUGGCUCCAUUAUAGCCGAAAACUUAAGCACACCAGCUAAAUUUUACAUCCAUACUUAAACAUAUCAGCUUCAUUAUAGUUCCUAUACUUAAACACAUCAGCUCUAUUAUAGCUGAAUACUUGAACACACCAGCUCAAUUAUAGAUUCAUACUUAAAAACAGCAGCUCCAUUAUACC